CAAUAGCGUAUAUUUAAGUUGUUGCAGUUAAAAAGCUCGUAGUUGGAUUUCGGAUGGGACUUGCCGGUCCGUCGUUUCGAUGUGCACUGGCAAGUCCUAUCUUGUUGUCGGGGACUAGCUCCUGGGCUUCACUGUCCGGGACUAGGAGCUGACGAGGUUACUUUGAGUAAAUUAGAGUGUUCAAAGCAAGCCUACGCUCUGAAUACAUUAGCAUGGAAUAACACGAUAGGACUCUGGCUUAUCUUGUUGGUCUGUGAGACCAGAGUAAUGAUUAAGAGGGACAGUCGGGGGCAUUCGUAUUUCAUUGUCAGAGGUGAAAUUCUUGGAUUUAUGAAAGACGAACUUCUGCGAAAGCAUUUGUCAAGGAUGUUUUCAUUA
rnacentral:rRNA from 1 species